CCAGAACCAGCCGUUGUCCCCUGGCAAAAAGAGGCCCAGGGCUGAGCCCUGGGCAAGUGUCUCCCGACAUCGCUACCCCUCCUCCCUUUAUUAGUUUCCCUUUCCCAACAGAAACCAUUUCCUUCUGCCACCAAAACUAGGUUGCAUCCAAAAGUUUUUCACAAGCUUAAAAAAGAAAAACGAAAAAUUGACAAGUAUUACACAGAAGAGCCCACAAAAGCUUCAGCAACACCAAGGGCGAAGAAGCAGCGUCAGAUCCAGGUCUGCAGGACACACCAAAGAACUCCUCCAAGUCACACAAGGGAGAAAAUUAACUUCAUUGGCUUCUAUCAGGAAAGCUAUUUUUUUUUUCCUCUUCUUUCCUGCAAGUUUCCCAAACCCCAUGACUCUGAUUUCCAGGUCAGAGACUAAGGUUUUAUUUUUCUUACUCUGUAUACUUUAUAUGUGGAGAGUCCCUGAAGGAACACUGUGAUGGGCUGAUUACUGUGAGCCAGUUGUGGGCCAGACCUGGCCUCAGGUGCUGCAAAGGGAAUUCAGUCACCCCUGUGCAGUGAUCUGUGAGCCCCAAGUCAGAUCCAACUUUUUCCUGAUAGACAGCACCCUCCUCCUCCCUACCAAGAAAUAGCAGGGUUGGAGGUAGUGACCCAAUAUUCAAGAGGUUUGAAAUUCUACAUGAGAUAUUUCUGAGUUAACUCCUAAAUAGCAGUUUCCUUAAUCAUGUGGAAAAUAAGAACACUUACUAAAGAGACCAUUGGUUUAAGAGAAAUGGAAACUUAUGUCCACGUAAAAACCUGUAAAUGAAUGUUCACAGCAGCCUUUUCAUAAUAGCCAAAAAGGGAAAGCAAUCCACACGUCCAUCAACCAAUGAAUGGAUAAACUUAACGUGGGAUAUACGUGUAAUGGAAUGCUAUUUGGUGAAGAAAGAAAUGAAAUAUUAAUACAUGCGUUAACAAGGAUGGACCUUAAAAUAUCAUGCUAAGUAAGAGAAGCCUGUCACAAAAGAAUAUGUAUUGUACCAUUCUACUUAUAUGAAAUUCCUAGAAUAGGCAAUUCUAUAGGGACAGAAACUAGACUAGUGAUUGGCUAGAGCUUGGGGAGAGUUUGGGGAGCCUGGAGGAUGACAGCAAAGUGGUGCAGAGUUUCUUUUUAGGUUGAUUAAAUGUUGUAAAAUUAAUUGUAGUGAUGGUUGUGCAACUU
rnacentral:lncRNA from 1 species